rnacentral:rRNA from 1 species
GAGGCAGCAGUGGGGAAUAUUGGACAAUGGACCAAAGUCUGAUCCAGCAAUUCUGUGUGCACGAUGAAGUUUUUCGGAAUGUAAAGUGCUUUCAGUUGGGAAGAAGAAAGUGACGGUACCAACAGAAGAAGCGACGGCUAAAUACGUGCCAGCAGCCGCGGUAAUACGUAUGUCGCAAGCGUUAUCCGGAUUUAUUGGGCGUAAAGCGUGUCUAGGCGGUUUGGUAAGUCUGAUGUGAAAAUGCGGGGCUCAACUCCGUAUUGCGUUGGAAACUGCCAAACUAGAGUACUGGAGAGGUAGGCGGAACUACAAGUGUAGAGGUGAAAUUCGUAGAUAUUUGUAGGAAUGCCGAUGGGGAA